GCCGCUUUAGCUCAGCUGGUAGAGCGCCCGCCUUGUAAGCGGAAGGUCUCCGGUUCAAAUCCGGAAAGCGGCUCCA
rnacentral:tRNA from 1 species